UCGAUCACACGCAGCAUACCAUAUGCGCACGGCGGCGUCCCCAUCCAUGGGUGAUCCCCCGACGGGAAAGCUCAGCGUCUCCCGCUUUAAAACCCUCGCCCCCGGCCCCGUACGCACGCAGUUGGUCACAGGCACCUCCAAGUCCAAACACAGGCGAAGAAUGGCGAGCCUGAGCGUGCCUCCGGUGCUCACGUCCCCGCGCCAUGACGCCAUCGCCCUCCACAGGGCCUUCAAAGGUUUUGGGUGCGACAGCACGACGGUGAUCAACAUCCUGGCGCACCGCGACGCGGUGCAGCGCGGGCUCAUCAUGCAGGAGUACAGGGCCAUAUACCACCAGGACCUCUACCAUCGCCUAUCGACCGAGCUCAGCGGGAACCACAAGAAGGCGAUGCUGCUGUGGGUGCUGGACCCCGUGGGCCGCGACGCCACGAUACUGAACCAGUCCCUCAACGGCGACAUCGCCGACCUGCGCGCCGCCACGGAGGUGAUCUGCUCCCGGACGCCGUCGCAGCUGCAGAUCAUGAAGCAGGCCUACCGCGCCCGCUUCGGCUGCUACCUCGAGCAGGACGUCACCGAGCGCACCUACGGCGACCACCAGAAGCUUCUGCUGGCCUACCUGGGCAUCCCGCGGUACGAGGGCCCGGAGGUGGACCCGUCGGCGGCGGCGCGCGACGCGAGGGAGCUCUACCGCGCCGGCGAGAAGCGGCUGGGCACCGACGAGCGGGCCUUCAUCCGCGUCUUCACCGAGCGCAGCUGGGCGCACCUCGCCGCCGUCGCCGACGCCUACCACCACCUCUACGCGCGCUCCCUGGACAAGGCUGUGAAGAGCGAGACGUCGGGCACCUUCGAGUUGGGGCUGCUGACGAUCCUCCGGUGCGCCGAGAGCCCGGCGAGGUACUUCGCCAAGGCGCUGCACAAGGCGAUGAAGGGGCUGGGCACAAGCGACACGACGCUGAUACGGGUGGUGGUCACCAGGGCGGAGGUGGACAUGCAGUACAUCAAGGCCGAGUACCACAAGAAGUACAAGCGCUCGCUGGCCGACGCCAUCCACUCCGAGACCUCCGGCAACUACCGGACCUUCCUCCUCUCCCUCGUCGGCCGCGACCGCUAAGAGGCGAUGAUCGACCAUCGAUCUCAACGCCGCACCGCCAAGACCGCCUUGCGUGAUCGAUUGGUCGGUCAGUCUACCUGUAAAUACAGAUUAAUGCCAAUGAGUCCACUGGAAGUUGAGAAGGCAAAUAGGUAAAGUAAUAACCAGUACUAAAUUGGAGAGCAAGCAUGCCAGAACAGAGUCCCUGUUUCUGAUCUAUAUUCACAGGCAAGAGUACAAAUGGGGAUAAUCCGGCUGCAAUGGUAAGUAUUUUUUAUCUACAUACCCAAUAAAGGUACAGGUUGUGUCGGGACACUUAUCACUUUAUUUAUGGAAAUAACUGUUUACCAUAAAUCGCAUCUGAUGAAUGGCUAUAAAAACUGUGGAAGUUUCCUAAUAGUUCUUAAUCACGUUUUAUUUGUCUUCAUGGUAAUACCUCACUCCUCUACAUCUCUCCACAGUCUCAUCUCCUUCCCUCCUUUGUCUACUCAAUGACACACUUUAGUGGCAAUUGGGGAGAAUUAUGAUCAUCAGCAAGGAUGGAGGGAGCUACUCAAUGGCACAGUUUAGUGCCUAUUGGGGGAAGUUAAUAAUCAUCAGCAAGAUAUAUAAACAAAACUGACAGAGAGAUGGCAUACCAGUAGCAAUCAUGACUCCAACAAUUGCAGAGAUAACAGUGGCGGAAACGACGAAUAUGGCAAUUGAUACUGCUCCGACAUACACUGCAACUAAGCAAGCAAAGAACAAGGCCAGGAAUCCUCCAGCAGCUGCCAAGGACAUAAGAACUGAAACGAUAAUGGCAUUAGCGGUCGCAACCAGAAGGAAGGAC